rnacentral:rRNA from 1 species
AUUGAACGCUGGCGGCAGGCCUAACACAUGCAAGUCGAGCGGGAGGCGGACGGGUGAGUAGGGUAUGGGGACUGCCCGAUAGAGGGGGAUGAGUACUGGAAACGGUGGAUAAUACCGCAUAUGAACGGAUAACCCAUAUGGGAUUAGCUAGUAGGGGGGGUAAAGUCUCACCUAGGCGACGAUCUCUAGCUGGUCUGAGAGGGUGAUCAGCCACACUGGGACUGAGACACGGCCCAGACUCCUACGGAGGCAGCAGUGGGGAAUAUUGCGCAAUGGGCGCAAGCCUGAUGCAGCCAUGCCGCGUGUAUGAAGAAGGCCUUAGGGUUGUAAAGUACUUUCAGCGGGGAGGCGUUACCCGCAGAAGAAGCACCGGCUAACUCCGUGCCAGCAGCCGCGGUAAUAC